rnacentral:rRNA from 1 species
UACAGAGGGUGCGAGCGUUGUUCGGAAUUAUUGGGCGUAAAGGGCGCGUAGGCGGUGCGGUAAGUCACCUGUGAAAUCUCCUGGCUUAACUGGGAGCCUGCAGGCGAAACUACCGUGCUGGAGUGUGGGAGAGGUGCGUGGAAUUCCCGGUGUAGCGGUGAAAUGCGUAGAUAUCCGGGAGGAACACCUGUGGCGAAAGCGGCGCACUGGACCAUAACUGACGCUGAGGCGCGAAAGCUAGGGGAGCAAACAGG